rnacentral:lncRNA from 1 species
UGUAGAAAACUUAAAUUGAAAUUCUUUUGAAUCAAUCCAUCGCAGUAGGGUAUUCACCAACUCAACAAAAUCCUCCAUGGUAUCCAAACUCUUUAUUAUUAUCAAAAGAACAAUUACAAGAUUAAACAUCAACUUACUUAAUAAAAAAAACCAGUCCUUCCUUCCGACACUGACGAAAAUUGACCUGUUGCGUAUCAACGAAACCAUAAACCAUCCACAUACCAAUACAAUUAUUAUCUAUAAAACACACGUCCACCAGUUUAAUCUAUUAAUCCAACACUUGUUCACAUAGACAAUAAUAAAAACUUGUUCACAUAGACAAUAAUAAAACUUGUUGACGACCAUAACCACCUGAACAGGUCAACGACUAGGAAGGAAGCGUUCUACGCCACACUACGGCUCUACGCCACACUACGGUGGACUAUUUAUAUUUAAACUAAUUAACAUAUCAUAACAAAAUCAGUAAUAAUCAAAAAUAAAUUCAACAAAUUAUUAUUAUUAAAUCAGUAAUUAAUUAUUAAUAAUAAAACAAAACUUAUAAAAGAAAAAAAAAAACAAAUUACAUUUUUUUUUUCUCUUUUUUUUUCUUCUGUCAAAACGAACAACGAGGCCAACCUCCCGACGAACUCCUCAACUGCAGGCACGUAUUUUUUUCCUUUUUUUCCCCCUUUUUUUUUCACACUUUACAAAGUUG